GCCGGGAUGGCGGAAUUGGUAGACGCGCUUGGUUUAGGUUCAAGUGGAUUCAUCUGUGCAGGUUCGAGUCCUGUUCCCGGUA
rnacentral:tRNA from 2 species